rnacentral:misc_RNA from 1 species
AACGCACCUUGCGCUCCUUGGCAUUCCGAGGAGCAUGCCUGUUUGAGUGUCAUUAAAUUCUCAAUCCAUAAUAUUUAUUUAUUAUGGACUUGGAUGUGGGAGCGUGCAGGCCCCUUUUUGAAGGAUCUGCUCUUCUUAAAUGCAUUAGUCGGACUUGUUGCAACAGUCUGUGGUGUGAUAAUAUCUACGCCCAGGCCCUGUGCAGUCUUGCGGUCCAGCUUCCAAUGGUCCAUUCAAUUGGACAGCUCAUUGACAAUUUGACCUCAAAUCAGGUAGGACUACCCGCUGAACUUAA